UGUGUGUUGUGUGUGUGUGUGUUGUGUGUGUGUGUGUGUUGUGUGUGUGUGUGUACAGACACAAACACACACACACACACCACACACACACACACACACACAUAUAUAUAUAUAUAUGUGUGUGUGUGUGUGAUUAUAUAUAUAUAUACAACACACACACACACCACACACACACACACAU